rnacentral:piRNA from 1 species
UGGCAAGGUAAUUGGUGAUUGUGGGUGUCC